UUAAUUAUGGACCGGAAUGACCACAACUUUACCAUGUUUUUUGUUGUUGUUUUUUUGUAUGUUUGGCAUCCAACGGACUGGCAACAGGCGAGGAGGAGCUGUUAAUGGAGAUUUGGCUCGAGGACAACUUGUGGCGAGUAAAAGAUGUCAGGGACGGUUUAGACUGGCGCGCGGCGCGUACCUCUCUUGGCAGCGGCGACCUCGCAGGACACCCCGGGGAUGUCGCAGUAGCGGCCGGACCAGCCGCUGGGGCAGUCGCAGGGGGAGCUUUUGCACUCGUCGAUCUCUAUGGUGCAGCGGGGCCCGGUGAAGCCAGGCAGGCAGCUGCAGCGGAACGUGUUCACCCCAUCCGUACAGGAGCCCCCACUCAGACACGGGUCUGCAGCAGAAUGAAUCCAUUUAGCUGGUCGAUGCAGGAGCCCCCGUUGUGGCAGGGGGCAGACUGGCAGUCAUUCCGGUCCAGGUCACAGUUCUUACCCACCCAGCCCGGCUCACACUCACACCUGUACCUGUGGGAGUAGCCCGGCAGAGGAAGUGACCCGGAGGAGGCCGUGAUACGCCAGCGCUUACAUCAGCGAGCCUGGGAACCUCCUGCCCUGUGUGGGGGUGUGUGAGAGAGCGAGGGGGAAAGGAC